GUGCUGUGAGGUAGGCUGAUUGCUAGACUGCUGCUGUCUGGGGUGGUGGUGGGGAGCCAACAGUAAUACCUCGGCAAACCGGAGUGCUGCUGCCUGGGGCAUGAACACACGCUGACAUUCCUGCUCACUGUUCACAGAGGGAGCAAUGAAAGAUGAGAGGAGAUGGAAUUCUAGAAGAAGGAGGUGAUAAGACCAGAAAGUUGGUGAGAGACACAAAAGCAGGACAAGAUAAAAAGGACAAGAUAAAGGACAAGAUAAAGGCUACGGGCAGUGACUGAAGCAAAACAAUACAAAACAAAACAAAAGCUCUCUGGUACAUGAAGAUGGUGGCUGAGGUUUGUGAAACGCAUGGACCUUUUCAAAUAGAAAAUGGGCGCUGGGUGGCUGUUGCUAGGAGGCUGCAAGCUCUACCACUGGCUAUAUAAUGGAUACACCAGUUUGAAAUCUGUUCCCUCCUCAAAAGUUUAAUUCUGCCUAACAUUCUGCUGUUCUUGGUUUGGGCAUCCCUUGGCUAGAGUGUAAUGUCUGGCCAAAAUGAAUGAAGACUGGAGGACAAGCCAAGGCUGGACACUGCCAGACGCCCUCUGCCUGACCUCUCUUUAAAAGAGGGACUUGAACACCAGACAGCAUGGCUCUUUCAGUUUAUUGCAUGAAGGAUCUACUCCGGUCCAAGUUAAAGAGAACCCCAAUCGGUUACAUUAUCCAAGCUGUGGGCUCUUAAGCUCGUGACAGAAAAAUCUUUUCCCAACGCCAAGUCUGGAAAUGAGGACACUUCUUUCUGCACCUCGGACAACAAUAUAAGAUGGGGAGGGAGGAGAGCCCAAAAGAGACUAUCUUCCUGCAAACAGGAUGGAGCUGAGCAGUUAGGUGGUUGACAGUCUAAAGAAAAAGCAACACAGUAACUAAAACAGGAAUAGUCACUUCAAAAAUCUCUUUCUGGGCACUUGGAUGGCUCAGUGGUUGAGUGUCUGCCUUUGGCUCAGGUCGUGAUCCCGGGGUCCUGGGAUUGAGUCCCACAUCAAGCUCCCUGUCGGGGGCCUGCUUCUCCCUCUGCCUAUAUUUCUGCCUCUCUGUGUGUCUCUCAUGAAUAAAUAAGUAAAAUAUUUAAGAAAAUCUUUCUGUCCUACUAAAAUCACAUAGCCACAGGGCAGAAGAUAUCCAAAAUGGUAAAUGUUUGAAAGCCUCAUCGUGAGAGCCUUUAUUCAUCACAAGAAACAUGUCCUGUUAUUGAUAUUUUAAUAUCACACUGCGAGAUGAGUGGCUUGGGCAGUCAGGCAGUUUUGAAAGUUUUAAAAUAUAUACAUAAAGAACUGUUCUGGAUUUCUCAGGGGAAAAGUGAAUCAGAAAAAUGAAACAUUAUUAGGAGCACCAAUGUGGUGACCUUCUUUGAGCUCAAAAAGGAUGAUUUCUGAAAAGACAGAGGCCCUUGAAGUUCCCAAAUUUUAAGUCCACCCUUAGACAUCAUUGUUGGCAUAUUAUCAAAGUUAUCCAGAACAUCAGGUCAAAAUUCAUUUACAUGGAGCCCCCUUUAAACUCUGGUGUGGCUUCAGAAAACUUAACAUGGGAAACAACCCCUUGAGAGAAUGGCUUUUUCCUCUUUAGGGUGCUGAUCUUGCCUAGUGCAUUAUUUUGUGCUGACUGAUAUUUCUUAAAUGGUUUGCUGUGAACAUGCACACGUUUUUGAAUUAUAUAAGAAAUCUGGACUGGUCUACAGAACACAAAAAAGGAGAUAUAACGGAAAUCAGAUCCAGGCCUAAAAUAAAUUGAAUACAUGGGCUUCUCCUCUUCUGUUCCCUUUAGUUUGAGUUCAUAAAAAAAAAAAAUCUAUAUUUGGAAGGCGCUCUGAAUGGACUAUGUUGUAACAAGCAAAUGCUUUUGAUCAUUCCCCCAUGGUAUGAGAAGGUGAAGGAAGCGGGCCUCCAGGGGACUUCUUGGUCAAAUGUUUCAAGGGUAUGGAGAAUUUUUAAGGCUCACUUUUUCUGGUAGCAAAAUUUUCCUGAGACAUCUGAGGCAUUAUUAAAGAAUGCAGAUCACCACCAAAAGAUGGUCUGGAUGUAUUUAAGCACACUGAAGAAAAUCAAUGGGGAGGGGCCUAACCUUCACAUAAAAAAAUGUUUUCAUUUUUAUCUUCUGUGGGCUGAAAGGAUGACUGUUGAAAACAUUUGUGUAAGAACAUUUUUAAGAAUGGAUGGUAGUGGAAAAAAAAAAAAGAAUGAGUUCUGGAUGGCAAUUUAUAGGUCUAUAAGUGAAAAAGAUAGUUUUUCAUAUUAUCUGUUUUAUGUCAGCCCUUUUGAAAUAUAUUGGUCUGCAAUGGUUACGUGAGAGUGUUGAGGAUACAGUAUUUACAUCAUGUACUUUGCUAUUGUAAGCUUCAUGGCCGAAAGCACAAAAGCACUGAAGUUGUCAAGCCAGACCUGAUGCCAGCUCUACCACUACAAGCCCUGUAACCUUGGGCAAGUAACUUGCUUCUCUGAGACUAAGCUUUUCCCAUCCGUUAAAAGGGGUUUGUUGUAAGGAUUAAAUAAAACAUGCAAAAUAUAUUAUGGCUAUUCAAUAAUAUUGUAUUUUUUCCCACCUUCUUUGAAAAUAUGUUGAUUCAUCCAGAUGAAAAUGCCUGAGCGUUGGGCUUUUAGUCUAAACAGUAAAAAUUGGGAUCCCUGGGUGGCGCAGCGGUUUGGCGCCUGCCUUUGGCCCAGGGCGCGAUCCUGGAGACCCAGGAUCGAAUCCCACGUCAGGCUCCCGGUGCAUGGAGCCUGCUUCUCCCUCUGCCUGUGUCUCUGCCUCUCUCUCUCUGUGUGACUAUCAUAAAUAAAUAAAAAUUAAAAAAAAAUAGUAAACAGUAAAAAUUCAUCAGUUACUGUGAGUAGCCUGAUUAAAGGGAACACCCCAUUUUUGUGGCAAACAAAAGAAAAUUACUUAGGAGGCAUUCUUUUUCAGCAUGUUAUUUGGUGACACUGUCUUUAGCUACAGAAUUGGUGUUUCUAUUAUUCCAAGAUUGAAGAUUAAUCUUUACUUUAAAAACAAGAUUCCGCAAUCUUCUACAAUUUCUUAAAGCUACAUUUCCUUGUUCUCCUGUCUUACUAUUCAAGUGUUGGUACAUUUGAUGGGGAAAAAAGCCUCAUGUGAGAAGUUGCAACAAAAGAUGGGACUGAACACAGACAUCUGAAAAAGGGAUCAAGUUCGACAGGGAACCUGAGAGAUGGGAAGCAAAUAUCCUUUUGAUGUUAGCAGGAUUGAGUAUGGAUAAGGCCAAAUGGAUGCUUCUGGGCUACAAUCAACAGACUGUCUUAUAUUUGAAGUCUGCGUUUCCGGCAAAGAUGCUCAUUCUGAUAAGAUGAAAACACUUCUCGGGAAAUCCUACACAGGAAAUUCAAAUACCAGAGGUUCUCAUCACCUCGGGGCCUACCUAUCCUUUGCGCUGCCUGGCAUUCCUAUUUCCAUUGUUCUUCCCGUCUUAGUGUUCCAAAGCUAUUACAGUUGAAUACCGUAUAUAGAGAGCGUCUGUAGAGAAGGAGAACAGUCUCCUCUGAAUUAACUCCAGGCAGCACCAAGCUCAACGCAGUGCCAGAAAUGGAUACAUUAUCCUCCACAAGAUGUGUGAUUAGUCAAUAGAGAGAAAAAAAAGUCACACACACUGCCGUCUUCCACAAAAAAGGAGAGCAUGCUAUUGUAGAAAUGAUGAUACCAUGUGAAAAGGUUAAUCAUAGUCUGGCAAUUGCAGUGUUGGAUGCAAACCUACUUUUGCUGAGGCUGUGAGUUUCCUUGAUUAGAAGCCCUGUUCCCUGCUGGGACCUUCUCCAGCACCAAGACAUCUUGGUCAUGUUCUUUAAGUCUGACUGUAUUCGCCUCAACGUCCUGCAAAUACAAAUUACACCACAUACAGAUGCUGCUGUUUUCUCAGACAAUGAAAAAAAUUUCAAAUGCUUCAGAAACUCAUUUGGUGCUUGUGAUGCUAAUUGUUGCAUCUACAAAUUAAGUCAUUUUCAAAGUCAGGGCUGGAAUGGUCAGAGAGAGGACCAGAUGAGGUUUGAGGCAUGUGGUUUUAAAACUCUUUUACCCCAGAUUCAGAAAAACAGCCAAGUAGAGAGGAGUGUGGUUGUGCUCUGAGAAACCUUUAAAAGAGGGGGCAUAGCGGGAAGACAGGGAGCAAGUGCCUUAUCCUGACAAAAAUAUGUGGCAGGUUUCUUCAUUUUGAUUUUCUUCUGAGGGUGUGUCAUUUUCAUAGGUGUGUACCUUUUCUCUCUCAUCAAAAGGCUCUGUUUAUUUUUUUUAAAGAUCUGUUUGAAAUGUAUUAAAAACAUUUUUCAGUUAUUUUGGACAAUUUUAUAAAUUGUAUCAAUAAUGAUCCUAAUCUGAUUCUUUCAGCGAAUUAUUUUUGGCUGAGUUGGAAAUUUUGUGUGUAUCAACUUCAAAGAGCGACUAAAGUUUACCUCUAAAUUUCAAUGUCAUUUAAACAAUUAAAUUAAAAAUCUUAA